rnacentral:misc_RNA from 1 species
UCUCCGUAGGUGAACCUGCGGAGGGAUCACUACAGGCUUCCAAAGGGUCUGAAACCAAUGUUUAUCUACCUGAAUCUGCUUAUGCAGGCGGCCCCAGGCCGUGACCGUAUACCCAAGGCGCCCGCCGAAGAUCCCUAAACUCUGUUAUCUUGAGAAUCUCUGAGUAAUUAUAUGAAACAAAAACAACUUUCAACAACGGAUCUCUUGGCUCUG